rnacentral:rRNA from 1 species
GGAGUUAGCCGGUGCUUCUUCUGUGAGUGAUGUCCUUCCUGCCGGCUAUUAACCCGCAGGCCUUCUUCCUCACUGAAAGUGCUUUACAACCCGAAGGCCUUCUUCACACACGCGGCAUGGCUGGAUCAGGGUUGCCCCCAUUGUCCAAUAUUCCCCACUGCUGCCUCCCGUAGGAGUCUGGGCCGUGUCUCAGUCCCAGUGUGGCUGAUCAUCCUCUCAGACCAGCUACGGAUCGUCGCCUUGGUGAGCCGUUACCUCACCAACCAGCUAAUCCGACAUAGGCUCAUCCGAUAGCGCGAGGCCCGAAGGUACCCCGCUUUCCCCCGUAGGGCGUAUGCGGUAUUAGCCUGGGUUUCCCCAGGUUAUCCCCCACUACCGGGCAGAUUCCUAUGCAUUACUCACCCGUCCGCCGCUCGCCACCAGGGAGCAAGCUCCCCGUGCUGCCGCUCGACUUGCAUGUGUUAGGCCUGCCGCCAGCGUUCAAUCUGAGCCAGAAUCAAACUCUGA